rnacentral:tRNA from 1 species
GGCUAUGGCUCAGUGGUAGAGCACUUGCCUAGCAUGUGUGAGGCCCUGGGUUCCAUCCUCAGUACCA